GUCGUCGAAGGUGGAAUCAAUAACUGGGGUGAAGUCGUAACAAGGUAGCCGUAUCGGAAGGUGCGGCUGGAUCACCUCCUUUCUAAGGAGA
rnacentral:rRNA from 1 species